GUUGCGCGCGGUUGAUGGAAUGAUUGUGAUCAAGCGUGUCCCGACAGGCCUAAGCAGAAGACUCUGCAGGUAGUCAAUGAUCAAUUUCCAUUAAGAGGGGACAUUAAGGACUCCACACCUAUAGCAGAUGCGAUUCCACAACUGUGCAGAGAAGGAGCAAUCGUAUAAAAGGAAAACGGUUCAGGUGGAACAGCCAACAGAUGAAAGUAUUAUGUGUAGGGAUUCCUUUCUUGAUCCAAAUUAAAUAAUGUCAGUCCAUGGGACAAAAUUUGAUCUUGGGCAAAGGUGAUCAUAAAUUUGGCCCGUACGAUAUCGAUGAAUAGGUAAUCCAUCAAUCUCCCAAUAGUAAGUAUCUGUUUCAGUCAACAAAUAAUGGUGGUGAGGAAAGCCUGAACUUGAAGAAGAUUAUCUGUUUUGGCAGGAAGAAGAAACCAACUUCCAUUUAUGUUCAGUUUGUCGGGAGUAAUGUUCAGUGGAAUUCCGAAUCGAGAUGCUGAAGGAGUUUCCAGGAAGGCUAGUAGACGGUCAUAGGGAGACCAGUUAUCCCACCAAAAUCAACAUGAUUUUCCAUCAUCUAUUCUUAGCUUGAUCCAUUCAAAAACCGUAUCUUUCUGUUUCAGAAGCUUGUUGGCAAGCCAUGAGAAUUGAUGCCUCUUUUAAGGCUCCAUAAGUUAUAAGUUCUCCUUAGUAACUUUCUCACGAAAUCAGACGACCCAUAUGGAUCCUGACUGCGAAAAGAGUAGCCAAAUCAGCUUAAUGAGACAAGUUGUGUUCCAGGAGCCGAUGUCUUUUAGCCCUAACCCACCCUCAGUUUUAGGUUUACUGACUGUUUCCCAACUUACUCUUGCAUAGAUAUUACCUUCAGGAGUGCCUUUCCAUAAGAAAUUUUAGCACAUCAAUCUUAUUUUUCCAAUACAUUUCUUUGCCAAGACAAACGUUGAAGUCAAAAAAUUCAGGAGACACACAAUUACAGUAUCCAAAAGCAGGAACCUUCCAGCGAAUGAUAAUGAUUUAACUGACCAGCAAUUAAUCUUAACUUUGAUUAUGUGGAGAAGAGACUCCCAGUUUGCCAAGGUAAGCUUUUUCGUACAAAGAGGUACUCCCAAGUAACGAACAUGGAAAAGUCCAUGAUAUAACCCCACCGAGAAGCUGAUGCGAUCUUUUUCUUCCUGUGACAGGCCAGAAGAAUAGAAGGAUGAUUUAGAGGGACUUAUAGAGAGGCCUGGAAGAGUAUCAAAUUCACGAAGAACUAAGAGGACUGCCUGAACCGAGGAGAGGGAGCCGUUUAGAAAGAUCAUCUGCAAAAAUCAAGUGCAUAAACUUCAUUUUUCACAAGCCAUUGUACCCUAUAGUAAAGCUAGGCGUAGACAGACAUGCUAUGAUCCAUCUCGAAAAAAUUUCAGGUCCCGUAGGCAAGAGUAGAGAAACUCCUAGUUAAUGCAAACAAAUGCUUUUGCGAUAUCAAUUUUAAAAUUUCGUUUAGGGUCUUUGUUGAGAUGGUAGCCAUUGACAAUCUCAGAUGCUAAAAGAGUGUUUUCUAGAAGGAGCCUUCCCCAUACAAAAGCUGCUUGGUUUGGUCUUCUCAGUGAAUAAAGAUUGUCUUCAGGCGUUUAACCAACAGAUGGGAAAUAACUUUGUAGAGAUUAUUCAAGCCUAUAGGCAUGAAGUCUGAGAUUACAUUUGCUCCAGGGAAUUUUUGCACUAGAAAUAUGAUUGUGGCAUACAUGGAGGAAGGCAUGAAUCCUAUGGUGAAAAAAAAAUUCAAAAUACCUUCAGUGACCUCAUCACCCAAUACAUCCCAUGUAGCAGGAAAAACCUAGAGUUUAACCCAGACACUUGUUGGGAUUCAACUUAAACAUAGCCAUUUUAAUUUCAGCAGGAGAAAUAGGAGAUUGCAAGAUCUGUCUUUCUGCAUCAGAGCAGGUUAAGUCACACAAGAGAGCAAACCAAAAAGUAAAGAUCAUUCGUACAAUUUCGAGAAACUUAAAAUAUCAAAAAAAAAAAA